rnacentral:rRNA from 1 species
UACGUAGGCAGCAAGCGUUGUCCGGAAUCAUUGGGCGUAAAGCGCGCGUAGGUGGCCUCAUAAGUCCGCUGUGAAAGUCAAAGGCUCAACCUUUGAAAGCCGGUGGAUACUGUGAGGCUAGAGUACGGAAGAGGCGAGUGGAAUUCCUGGUGUAGCGGUGGAAUGCGCAGAUAUCAGGAGGAACACCAAUAGCGAAGGCAGCUCGCUGGGACGUUACUGACACUGAGGCGCGAAAGCGUGGGGAGCGAACAGG